CCUACGGGUGGCAGCAGUCGAGAAUCAUUCACAAUGGGGGAAACCCUGAUGCAGUAACGCCGCGUGAGUGAUGACGGCCUUCGGGUUGUAAAGCUCUUUCUUCAGUGACGAUAAUGACGGUACCUGAGGAGGAAGGCACGGCUAACUACAUGCCAGCAGCCGCGGUCAUACGUAGGUGGCGAGCGUUGUCCGGAUUUACUGGGCGUAAAUGGAGCGUAGGCGGACUUUUAAGUGAGAUGUGAAAUACUCGGGCUCAACUUGGGUGCUGCAUUUCAAAAUGUAAGUCUAGAGUGCAGGAGAGGAGAAUGGAACUCGUAGUGUAGCGGUGAAAGGCGUAGAGAUUAGGAAGAACACCAGUGGCGAAGGCGAUUCUCUGGACUGUAACUGACGCUGAGGCUCGAAAGCGUGGGGAGCAAACAGGAUUAGAUACCCGUGUAGUC
rnacentral:rRNA from 1 species